rnacentral:rRNA from 1 species
UACGUAGGCAGCGAGCGUUGUUCGGAGUUACUGGGCGUAAAGAGCUCGUAGGCGGUGUGUCGCGUCGGCCGUGGAAACCUGCAGCUUAACUGUGGGCUUGCGGUCGAUACGGGCAUCACUGGAGUUCGGCAGGGGAGGCUGGAAUUCCUGGUGUAGCGGUGAAAUGCGCAGAUAUCAGGAGGAACACCGGUGGCGAAGGCGGGUCUCUGGGCCGAUACUGACGCUGAGGAGCGAAAGCGUGGGGAGCGAACAGG